rnacentral:rRNA from 1 species
ACACGGAGGGUGCGAGCGUUGUCCGGAUUCACGGGGCGUAAAGCGCGCGUAGGCGGUUUUGUAUGUCACGUGUGAAAUCCCGGAGCUCAACUCCGGGGCUGCAUGUGAAACUGCAGGACUAGAGCUCGGUAGAGGCAAGUGGAAUUCCCGGUGUAGCGGUGGAAUGCGUAGAUAUCGGGAAGAACACCAGUGGCGAAGGCGGCUUGCUGGGCCGAUGCUGACGCUGAGGUGCGAAAGCGUGGGGAGCAAACAGGAUUAGAAACCCCAGUAGUCC